rnacentral:rRNA from 1 species
UGGGGAAUUUUGGACAAUGGGCGAAAGCCUGAUCCAGCAAUGCCGCGUGUGUGAAGAAGGCCUUCGGGUUGUAGAGCACUUUUGUCCGGAAAGAAAUCCUUGGCUCUAAUACAGUCGGGGGAUGACGGUACCGGAAGAAUAAGCACCGGCUAACUACGUGCCAGCAGCCGCGGUAAUACGUAGGGUGCAAGCGUUAAUCGGAAUUACUGGGCGUAAAGCGUGCGCAGGCGGUUUGCUAAGACCGAUGUGAAAUCCCCGGGCUCAACCUGGGAACUGCAUUGGUGACUGGCAGGCUAGAGUAUGGCAGAGGGGGGUAGAAUUCCACGUGUAGCAGUGAAAUGCGUAGAGAUGUGGAGGAAUACCGAUGGCGAAGGCAGCCCCCUGGGCCAAUACUGACGCUCAUGCACGAAAGCGUGGGGAGCAAACAGGAUUAGAUACCCUGGUAGUCCACGCCCUAAACGAUGUCAACUAGUUGUUGGGGAUUCAUUUCCUUAGUAACGUAGCUAACGCGUGAAGUUGACCGCCUGGGGAGUACGGUCGCAAGAUUAAAACUCAAAUGAAUUGACGGGGUCAUAGCUGUUUCCU